UGUUCAUCUGGGAUAUUUCCAUAAAAUGGGAUGAGAUUGGAAGAUUUUUGUAUAUAGUUAAAUACCAUACCCUCUCUCCAAUUAUUUGAGAACUGGAUGUUUUGCAAAAUCUGGGUCUAAAGUUAGGGUAAAUACUUUCCAAUAUGGUUUGAAUUUUUUGGUGCUUUUCUUGCUGGCAUGUUAAAUAAUUUAGUGCUGUUAAAAACAUCAGAUUAAGCAAAACUUUGUAUAAAGCUAGUAGCAUGCAAUGCAAGCAACCCCAACAAUUAAUAUAAGGUUAAUGAAGAAUAAAAAAAAUCCAUUUAUGUUAAUAAGUCAUUGAAAGACCAAUUAUUUGGUUAAAGAGUAAUUAUGGUUAUUUAACUAAUUCUGUAGGCAAGAAAGGUCCCCAUAAUGAACUUAUAGUAUUGUACAAUAUCUGAUGUACAGUGACCCAUGUUAAAAACACAUUCUUGUUUUCAUCAGCUCUAAACACAAAAUUCUUUUUUGUAUAGAGGGAUGAUAUAUGGGCUGGCUUCUUUGGUGUCCUGAGUUUCUUAUUGGUUUACUAAACAAGAGACUGCUGUGACUCUCGUAAUAUUUUCUCAAUCCUCUGCUCCCAUAUUAAUGCAGGUGUUAACAGACUGUUAUAUGGUCAUCCAUUAUACGGGGAUUAAUGAAGUUUUGCUCCUUUUCCCCAUCCAGCACAGUCCUCUUCCACAUGUCUAUUGUGGUAUCCAUAUAGAACCUCUUUAUAAUACCUCCUAGCCAGAAAGGAUUUCUUGAGGGAAAGCUGAGUGGUAUUUCUACACCAUUUGUAUUUGAGGAUUGUCUCAUCAACGGCUGAGUGAGCAGAAAGAAGGGGAGAGGGGGCAGGUCUUUGUCUCUGAUGCUAUAUGAAGUUUCUGUCAGUGAGAUUCCUCACUGUUGUCCACACACAUGGGUACAAAACCAAAACCAAACAACAACAACAAAACCACCAAGCACACCAUCUAUGUGAAGCAUGCACAUAUCUCUGCCUUUAUUUUUGUCAAGAUUUCACAUGGCUGCUGUCUUUUUAAAGGUACUGUGCAAGGAAUGCUUUAGGCCUCAGCCUCCCUCAGCCACCACCACUUUAGCCAAGCUAGCAAAGCAAUGAUCACAUUGCCUUGCAGCACUCUGAGUUUGGGCUCUGUGGUGUACUUCCCUGGCAAGAGGGAUAAAAUGUGCUGAAUGGUGGCAUCUCCAUUGUCUCACUGUCAUAAGGUCAUCAUUGAAAGAGACACAGGGUCAGACAGGGUUCACAACUUGCUCUGAUUCAGUGCUGGCUGCAUUAAAAGAUUUGUGGUGGGAUCAUUUCACUUGGAGGUCUAAGCUGCAGUGUUUGCAGAAGUGCCUGUUAAAUAGAAAACACUAUUCAGUACUAGUAUUUACAUGAAGAUGACUUCAAUUUAUACUUUGGUCACCAGUGGAGUGGAUUUUUUGGCUUUCCCUGUCUAUUCUCACCUCCUGAUUCUACACAAGCCACCACCCUCGAGGCACAGAAAACAAUGGGUUAGCACAUUUUCCAUGCAGACAUAUUGGAAAGCCACACACUAACUGGGCUUCUUCAGUUCUCCUGGGUGACACCACACGCAAAAGGGGCAGAUAAUAAUCCAUGAUACUGCUCAAUCUUUAUGUAUUAAAACCUAAUAUGAAAACUCCCUAGAAGUGAGAAGGGCCAAUAAAAAGAAAUCUCAGUGGUUGGAAGGACAUGGAAGAAAAUCUAGAAAUAUUUUUGUAAGUUCUACAUAUCCCAAUGUUUUAUUGCAUUGGUUGUAACAGAGCAAUUUGCAGCAGAGAAGGAGUUGCCACCUGAACCUCAACUCACAGCAGUCUCUGUGUACCCAGAGGAUAGGCUGGACUCUGCGAACCAGAGACCUGUGACCCUAAUAAUACAGAUGCAAAUUUGAAUGGUGACUUUGAGGCUGAAUUUAAGGCUUGAGCUUGUACAAUGUUUAGGAAUGCUAUAUAAAUGGAUGAGCAUGUGUAUUCCUAGGGGGUUAAAAGAGUGAUAAAUGCUUACUAAAUCUGGCUUGAAGAAAGUAGUUGCAAGGCUCAAUACAGAUAACACAAAUAAGUAGUAAAAACCACAAGUUCUAUGUGGUUUUGUGUUGACAUAUCUUCUAAGUUAUAAUCUGCCUAAAUGUGUUGGCAGCAGUACUUGUGUUAUCACUUUAAAUCAAAUAAUUCCCAUUUAUGAAUUUUCCUCCAUGAUAUAGUGCCAUCCUUCAAAUGGUUACAAGACUGUAUUGGAUCCAGUAAUUAUGUAUGUGGGUAUGUAUUUCUUCCCUUAAAUUUAUUUCAAUAACUAAUUGAUGCUCUUUUGGGAAAGCAGAAUAUAUGGUAUGUUGCAUUCAGUUGUUCACUCUUAAUUUUUGCAUGAGGAUACAGCUCUCAGAACUCCUAUCAACAUGUUUGAUAUUAAGAUAACCUUUUCAGACAAGAGUUGCAUUGUAAUAGAUUAAAUUGCAGGGAAUGGUGUGUCCCUCCCCAUUUCUCUUUGUGAGCCAUGUACAUUUAAAUAUUUCCUCAGAUAAUUGUGAUAAAAAAAAAUAUAUUACUGAGUUUCCUUGAGUGGAAAUGUCCCGCCAACCAUCCCAGGAGGAUUCUCACUCAGCAGGCAGAACAGGCUUGUAGAGAAGCAGAAGCUGUUCUCUUCUUGUGAUUUGGUUUAUGAUGAUGAUGAUGAUUUUCUAGUCAGGAUGUUGUUUCUUUUUCAUUCCUUUCAUUGAAUGUUUCACUGAUAGACAAGAGCCAUUCCUGGUAAAUGGAAGAGUGCAGCACCUGGCUACAACAGAGGCUUCAAAAUGGUCAAAAAAUCAUCCUUCUUUUUCAUAGAGGUUAUAUUAGCCAUCAGAACAAACAAAAACCCUUGGGAAUCAGCAGAGUUCAAGGAAAUGUGGCCACCUUGUGCACAGAAACGGUGUGCCAGGCCAAACUCUCCUGAAGGCAAUGGAGCCAACAACAGCUUGCAGGUCUGUGGAAUGAGCUCUGGAUAUAGACACCAGCAACACCUAAUUGCCUUCUGGAGAUUAUAAGGGCAGCAAAAGGGGUAUCUUAGAAAACCACAUGAAGUCUUAAGCAUGAUUGGGUUCAGUUUGAAAAUCUGUCUAGGUUAUUUUCUUGAAUUAUUUCUUCUUCUAUCACUUUGAGAAAAAAAAAAAAAAAA